GCGCAAAUUACCCAAUCCUGACACAGGGAGGUAGUGACAAGAAAUAACAAUACAGGGCUACUGUCUUGUAAUUGGAAUGAUGGUGACUUAAACCCUCACCAGAGUACCAAUUGGAGGGCAAGUCUGGUGCCAGCAGCCGCGGUAAUUCCAGCUCCAAUAGCGUAUAUUAAACUUGUUGCAGUUAAAAAGCUCGUAGUUGAAUUUCAGCGUUUCGCGUGUGCCUCUUUUGGCCCAUCUCGUCUCGCUUUUUUUAUUACUUUGAGAAAAUUAGAGUGUUUCAAGCAGGCUUUUGUCUUGAAUACUUGAGCAUGGAAUAAUAGAGUAGGACCUUGGUUCUAUUUUGUUGGUUUUGUUACCUUGGUAAUGGUUAAUAGGAACGGUUGGGGGCAUUCGUAUUUAACUGUCAGAGGUGAAAUUCUUAGAUUUGUUAAAGACGAACUACUGCGAAAGCAUUUGCCAAGGACGUUUCCAUUAAUCAAGAACGAAAGUUAGGGGAUCGAAGACGAUCAGAUACCGUCGUAGUCCUAACCAUAAACUAUGCCGACUAGGGAUUGGAGGUCGUCAUUUUUCCGA
rnacentral:rRNA from 1 species